AAAUUGAAGAGUUUGAUCAUGGCUCAGAUUGAACGCUGGCGGCAGGCCUAACACAUGCAAGUCGAACGGUAGCACAGAGAGCUUGCUCUCGGGUGACGAGUGGCGGACGGGUGAGUAAUGU
rnacentral:rRNA from 4 species